CCAGACUCCUACGGGAGGCAGCAGUGGGGGAUAUUGCACAAUGGGGGAAACCCUGAUGCAGCAACGCCGCGUGAGUGAAGAAGUAUUUCGGUAUGUAAAGCUCUAUCAGCAGGGAAGAGAAUGACGGUACCUGACUAAGAAGCCCCGGCUAACUACGUGCCAGCAGCCGCGGUAAUACGUAGGGGGCGAGCGUUAUCCGGAUUUACUGGGUGUAAAGGGAGCGUAGACGGCUGGUCAAGUCUGAAGUGAAAGCCCGGGGCUUAACCCCGGAACGGCUUUGGAAACUGAGCAGCUAGAGUACAGGAGAGGAAAGCGGAAUUCCUAGUGUAGCGGUGAAAUGCGUAGAUAUUAGGAAGAACACCAGUGGCGAAGGCGGCUUUCUGGACUGAAACUGACGCUGAGGCACGAAAGCGUGGGGAGCGAACAGGAUUAGAUACCCGAGUA
rnacentral:rRNA from 1 species